AAAUGACAGGACAUCCGGUGACACAUGGCAGUAUUAUUUCCCUGCUUAUUAAGACUAACCUGAUGGUUCCUCAAUGAAUGAUGUUUCACGGGCAAUACACCAUGUUAGGGUAUCUAUCCACAGGCAAGGAACCCUGUUUGAUUUCUGGCUAACCUUGCUGCAUAUAAUGGUAACAUUCACCUAGCAAUGCUCGCUUUCUGAUUCUCUUUGGAGAAAAAAGUAAGUUAUAUUCAUGCAGGCUCUCCAGAAGCCCCAAAACACUUCACAG